UACAGAGGGUGCAAGCGUUGUUCGAAAUUAUUGGGCGUAAAGCGCGUCUAGGCGGCUUAUUAAGUCACUGGUGAAAUCCCUGGGCUCAACCCAGGAAAGUCCAGCGAUACUGAUAGGCUAGAGUACGAGAGGGGAGAGCGGAAUUCCCAGUGUAGAGGUGAAAUUCGUAGAUAUUGGGAGGAACACCUGUGGCGAAAGCGGCUCUCUGGUUCGAUACUGACGCUCAAGCGCGAAAGCGUGGGGAGCAAACAGG
rnacentral:rRNA from 1 species